rnacentral:rRNA from 1 species
GACGUAGGGCGCGAGCGUUGUCCGGAUUUAUUGGGCGUAAAGAGCUCGUAGGCGGCUCGUUGCGUCGGCUGUGAAAACCUGCAGCUUAACUGUGGGCUUGCGGUCGAUACGGGCAUCACUGGAGUUCGGCAGGGGAGACUGGAAUUCCUGGUGUAGCGGUGAAAUGCGCAGAUAUCAGGAGGAACACCGGUGGCGAAGGCGGGUCUCUGGGCCGAUACUGACGCUGAGGAGCGAAAGCGUGGGGAGCGAACAGG